rnacentral:sRNA from 1 species
UCUAUCUUCUUCUUUUUUU